GGGUUGAUAGCAUAAGUAAUGCGCUUUAUUGAAAAUGAAGAUGAUGGUUUUUAAAUCUCAGCCCU
rnacentral:tRNA from 1 species